UCGCGCAGGCGCGCCGCUCACAGACCGUCUGCAGCUUGGGCUGCGCAGCGCGCUUCACGUCUGAGCUUCCCGCGCUCUUGAGAGCUGAGGCCCAGCGCCCCCCUUGUGUGGAGCUUGUCCCCAACCGCCCCGCCCCGACGCGGGGGGCUCGGUGUGGGGUCUGACCCUCGGUGCAGGGCGCGGGGCGGGAGGCCGACCUGGGGCGGGGGGCGGGGUUGGGCCCCUCAGGGCCUGGGAAGCGACAACCCGUAGGAGCCACAAAAUGGCUGGGGCUUGGGGGACCCCUACCUCCUCGUGUCUUCCGUGAAAUAAUUCAGUUAACUUUCCCAUCCGCGCUGCUCAGUGCGCGCCCUCUGCUUUCUUCUGGACAAGUGGAAGCAGAAUGGUGACGUUUCUGUUUUGGGGAGAGGAAGUUUGGGGUUAAGGAGAAAUGGGUGGCACUAAUGCCUGUAAAACAGAAAUAAAAUUCGAAGCCCCCCCCCACCCCGACCCGGCCCGGCAGGCUAGGCGGACUGGACUCCCUCCUUUACCAGGGAACCCCGAAGUUCAACCUGAGAGACUGUUCUGGCCUUGAGGGGAAGUAAGAGUUACACGUGCCUUGUUAUGCUUCUCCGGCAUUAACAAGGGAGACCUUAAGUCUGAUUUAAAAAAAAAAAAAUGUGGAAGGAAAAUAAAUCUUGGGGUCCCAAAAUCAUUAAGCUAAAGGGAAAAGUCAAGCUGGCAACUGCUUAGGGCAAACCUGCCUCCCAUUCUGUUUAGUCAUCUCUCAGCUCACUGAGGUAAAUGCAUAUCUGAUUACCACCUCUGGAGAGGCUAACCAGAAACUCAAGGGAAUGCAACUGUUUGACCUGGAAGCUCCCUCUUGCCUUUGCUUCGAGUAGUCCCGCCAUUCCGGACCAACCAAUGUUCAUCUUACAUAUAUUAAUUGAUGUCUCAUAUCUCCCUAAAAUGUGUAAAACCAAGCUGUGCUCUGACCACCUUGGGCCCAUGUCAUCAGGACCUCCGGAGGCCGUGUCAUGGGCGUGCCUCCUUAAAUUCAGCAAAAUAAACUUCCUAAGUUGACUGAGAUCUGACUCAGAUAUUUAAGGUUCACAUUUUAGUAACCACAAAGCGAUUCCUAGUAGAGGUGCCACUGACCUUUGACAAAUCUCCUGUCAGUCCUUAGUACCAGCCUGAGCUAUCUUUAUGGCUCAAACCAACAGGAUAAUUUGCUGAGGCCUGGAAGAACCCCCUCCAGAGAAUCCCUGAUCCACCCAGAUUUGGUCAAGAUCUAGUUUAUUUUGCUGUACAACUCCUUUUGUGUGUGUGGGGUGAGGGGACGGGGGUGGUUUACUCUCUUCCAACAUAAGGAAGGCAAGUUUUUUCUUGCUUCAGUGACAGUGGAAGGCAGGUAACUCUUUUAUGGAGUUUGAGCUCGCUUCCCACAGGAAAGAUGAGGGGUUUUCUUCCCCUGCUCCUAGGAUGGUAGAGAGCAAUCUUCAGCCUGAGACCCAUCCCUAGGUGCCUAGAGAAUCAGUCCCUGGAGCAACACUGGGCCCUAAUCGCAGACCUGUUGACCUGGGUCAGGUUGGAUUUCAGAAUCUCUGCAGACUGCCUGCUUUUUGCCUCAGUUUCGCCCUUCUGAGUGGCAGGGGCCAAGGACUCAAUUCCUGAGCAAGAAACAGCAAGAAACAGCAAGUGCCAUGAAAAGCGGCUUUGUGUGGGGUGGGCUCUUCACACUGCAAUCUCCAGUUCCUUCUCAAAGCUUCGAAAAAACGUUGAAAAAUGAAAACAAAAGCCCUGCUGUGUUGAGCUGGGCUCUGGCGUUGCCAUGGACCCAGGGCAAACAGCGAUGCUCCUGCUCUGCCCCCAGCUCAGCUCACACUGGGCCUGCACUUCUGGAAGGGAGCACGGACUUCGGAAUGACUGGUUAGAACCCAAAUGAAUUCAUGGAAUGUGACAUGGUUCAAAAAUAAUAAAACGUGAUACCCAUGAAA